GAUGAACGCUGGCGGCGUGCCUAAUACAUGCAAGUCGAGCGAACAGACGAGGAGCUUGCUCCUCCGACGUUAGCGGCGGACGGGUGAGUAACACGUGGAUAACCUACCUAUAAGACUGGGAUAACUUCGGGAAACCGGAGCUAAUACCGGACAAUCUAUUGAACCGCAUGGUUCAAUAGUGAAAGACGGUUUUGCUGUCACUGAUAGAUGGAUCCGCGCCGCAUUAGCUAGUUGGUAAGGUAACGGCUUACCAAGGCAACGAUGCGAAGCCGACCUGAGAGGGAGGUCCGCCACACUGGAACUGAGCCAGGGUCCCAACGCCUACGGGAGGCAGCAGUAGGCAAUCAUGCGCAAUGGGCUAAGGCCUGACGUAGCAACGCCGCGUAAGUGCUGAAGGUCUUCGGAGCGUAAAGCUCUGUUAUUAGGGAAGAACAAAUGGGUAAGUAACUAUGCACGUCUUGACGGUACCUCAUCAGAAAGCCACGGCUAACUACGUG
rnacentral:rRNA from 1 species